CUUCUUUUCAAAGCCGGGACAAGCGCCUAUAUCCCCUCUCGCCGGCUUCCAGCCGGCUAUGACGAUAAAUGGCGGCGUGCAAUAGACGCAGCGGACCCGGGGGCAGUACCCGGCGGCUCCACCACCUGCGCCGGAUGGUCGACACGCGUGAAGCGUGCCGACCCAGCGGCUCAGCUGAUGGGGCCGAACCAGGAUCGACGUGUGUUGAAAAGCGCUGUUUUCGUUCGGAAUGGGACCACCGCAACGGCCCAUACACACAAGUGCCAACGAUAACGAAGCACUCGCGAUUGCGGCGUAACUAAGGGCCUCACGGCCUGAAGUUACUCCAAAAUAGCGCGGUUGGACCGAACCGGGCAACAGAAUCGGAUUCCAGCGGUACGGGGAGCACCGGGCAACAGAAGCUCCCCACU
rnacentral:tmRNA from 3 species